rnacentral:rRNA from 1 species
GAUGAACGCUAGCGGCAGGCCUAACACAUGCAAGUCGAGGGAGAAGCCCUUUCGGGGGCAGUCACCGGCGCACGGGUGCGUAACGCGUAUGCAACCUACCUUUCACAGGGGGAUAGCCCGAAGAAAUUUGGAUUAAUACCCCAUAAUAUUAUUGGAUGGCAUCAUUUGAUAAUUAAAACUGCGGCGGUGAAAGAUGGGCAUGCGUCCUAUUAGCUAGGUGGAGUGGUAACGGCAACCCAAGGCUACGAUAGGUAGGGGUCCUGAGAGGGAGAUCCCCUGCACUGGUGAUGAGACAGAGACCAGAAUGCUACGGGAGGCAGCGGUGAGUAAUAUUGGGCAAUGAUCGGAAGUCUGAACCAGCCAUGCCGCGGACAGAAAGAAUGGCUUAUGGGUUGUAAACUGCUUUUAUAUGGGAAGAAUAAGGCGUACGUGUACGUUGAUGACGGUACCAAAUGAAUAAGCAUCGGCUAACUCCGUG